rnacentral:rRNA from 1 species
AUGGACGCGAGGCUCUCGUGCGCGGAGGCGUCCCACCCCGACGAGGUCGACGAGGAGCUGGACACGUUCCCGACGUCGGAGCCGAACGACGUGGUGCGGCUGCGGUACGACCGGCUGCGGAGCGUGGCCGGGCGGAUCCAGACGGUGGUCGGGGACGUGGCGACGCAAGGGGAGAGGGUGCGGUCGCUGCUGGCGUGGAGGGACCCGAGGGCGACGGCGCUCCUCGUCGCUGCCGUGUCGCUGUACAUGACGCCGCUCCGGGGCGUGGCGCUCGUCGCCGGGCUGUACGCGCUCCACCACCCGCGGUUCCGGAGCCGGAUGCCGUCGGCCGCCGGCAACUUCUUCAAGAGGCUGCCCUCCAGGGCCGACACCAUGCUUUAG